AUGGGGCUCUGGAUCUUUAAUCAGGCAUUAGCACGCCAAGAGAUCAUGAGGAUGAUUGUGUUGCAUGAAUUGGCAUUCUCAUUGGUGGAGUACGAUGGAUUUAGAAGAUUUUUCUCUAGUCAAAAUCCUAGCUUCAAGAUGAUAUGUCGAAAAGCAAUGAAGGAGGACUGCAUGAAAGCAUUUAAGGAAGAGAAGAGAAUUCUGCAAAGGAUCUUCCAAAACUCCAAAUCCAAGAUUUAUUUGACUACGGAUCUGUGGACAUCAAAUCAGACAGUGGGGUACAUUUUCAUCACAACCCACUUCAUUGAUGAGGAGUGGAAGCUGCAGAAGAGGAUAGUGAAAUUUGCAGCUAUGGAGACGCUGCACACAGGAGGUGCAAUGUUCAACUUCAUGGUGAAUUUCAUAAGAGAGUGGAACAUUGAAGAUAAUCUCUUUGUUGUGACGCUAGACAAUGCAUCGAACAAUGGUGCAAUGAUGAAGAUAUUGAAGGCACAUCUCCUUCUUAAGAAGAUGUUGUUGGGGAACGUAGCAUGCAAUUUAAAAAAAUUUCCUACAAUCACGCGGGAUCUAUCUAGGAGAUGCAUAGCCACGAGAGGGGGAGAGUGUGUCCACAUACCCUCGUAG
rnacentral:rRNA from 1 species